GCUUGUCUCAAAGAUUAAGCCAUGCAUGUCUAAGUACAAGCCUCAGUAAGGUGAAACCGCGAAUGGCUCAUUAAAUCACACCUAAUCUACUGGAAAGUUACUAGUUACUUGGAUAACUGAGGUAAUUCUUGAGCUAAUACAUGCGAAAAAUCUCGACUCACGGAGAGAUGCUUUUAUUAGAUGGAAACCAAUGCGGGGCAACCCGGUAUAUGGUGAUUCAUAAUAACUUUCGGAUCGAUCUUCGGAUCGAUGCAUCAUUCAAGUUUCUGCCCUAUCAGCUUUGGAUGGUAGGGUAUUGGCCUACCAUGGCUUUAACGGGUAACGGAGAAUUAGGGUUCGAUUCCGGAGAGGGAGCCUGAGAAAUGGCUACCACAUCCAAGGAAGGCAGCAGG
rnacentral:rRNA from 1 species